rnacentral:misc_RNA from 1 species
GUUUUAUUUUAUUUAUAUUUUAAUUAUGUAAAAAAAUUAACGUAAAUUUUCUAAUUUAAUACAACUGCUUGGGGGCAGGCCCAACUUUUUAAUUCUCACAUCUUCUUAUCCACCACCACCUUAAUUAUACCUACUCAAAAACUCAAUCUGUCAACCUCGAUCUACUGUCCAUAAAUAUAUAUCUUUCUUAAAGCCAAAAACAUAUCCUCUCAUCUUCUCUGUCCUUCUGCUCCUCCAUGGAACUCCAAUCACCAUCUUCAUCACCGCCGCCGCUUCCGCCACCUGCCUCACUCAAGACUUAUAAAUUAACAGCCUCAUCAAUCUCCUAUGUUAAAUGUACUACCAUAACUAAUAGCAUUGUACCAUUCUUCCUCUUCAAACCCUGCACGACAGCCCCACCAACUUUUAUUCUCCAGGAUGUGUCUUUCACAGCCUCUCCAUCUCAAAUCCUUGCCAUUGUUGGCCCCAGUGGAGCUGGAAAAUCCUCUCUCCUCGAUAUUUUAGCAGCUCGCACUUCCCCAACAACUGGUACUCUCCUCCUCAACUCCUCCCCUAUCAACCCUUCCUCGUUUCGGAAGCUCUCAGCUUAUGUCCCUCAGUACGAUGCAUGCCUUCCCUUGCUCACUGUAUCUGAAACUUUUAUCUUCGCUGCUCGACUCCUCCACCCAAAAUCAUCCGAAAUAGCUAAUAUUGUGGACUCUCUUCUCAAUGAGCUCAGCCUAACACACUUGGCUAACGCCCGGUUAGCUCAUGGGUUAUCAGGCGGUGAACGUAGACGUGUUUCAAUAGGGCUGAGCCUCCUCCAUGACCCUGCAGUUUUACUUCUGGAUGAACCCACUUCGGGCCUUGAUAGUAAAUCAGCCCUUAAUGUAAUGCAAACCCUUAAGUCCAUUGCUACUUCACGUCAUCGCACAGUGAUUUUGUCCAUUCAUCAACCAAGCUUCAAGAUCCUUUCUACCAUUGAUAAAUUACUUUUGUUAUGUAAAGGAACUGUUGUUCACCAUGGAACGCUUUCUUCCCUGCAAUGUUUCUUGCUCUCUAACGGCUUUACUGUCCCUCCCCAGCUCAAUGCCCUUGAAUAUGCAAUGGAAAUUUUAAAUGAGAUCCAGGAUAGUAAAGCCUGUACACCACCAUCCCUUCCAGCUGCAUCCCCAGAUAACAAUGCCACAAGUCCUGAUUCUGACAACAAAGCAAGACACAUCAGUUAUAGGAGCUCGAGACUCCAUGAAAUCCUUGUUCUUUAUAAUAGGUUUUGGAUGAUUAUUUACAGAACAAGACAGCUUUUAUUUACAAAUACAUCAGAAGCUCUUAUUGUGGGUCUUGUUUUGGGAACCAUCUACAUCAACAUUGGAUUCGACAAGCAAGGUAUCGAAAAGAGGUUUGGUCUCUUUGCCUUCACUCUCACAUUUCUUCUCUCUUCCACUACUGAAACACUCCCAAUCUUCAUCAAUGAAAGGCCAAUUAUACUAAGAGAAACUUCAAGCGGGGUUUAUAGACUCUCAUCUUAUCUAGUAGCAAACACUCUUGUCUUCUUGCCAUACUUGCUUGCAAUCGCUAUCAUAUACUCGGUCUCAGUUUAUUUCUUAGUGGGUCUUUGCGCUUCCUGGCAAGCUUUUGCUUACUUUGUUUUGGUCAUAUGGGUCAUCGUCUUGAUGGCAAAUUCAUUUGUUAUGUUCUUGAGCUCUCUUGCUCCAAAUUAUAUAGCUGGAAGCUCGCUAGUGACGAUACUUCUAGGCGCUUUCUUUCUCUUCUCCGGCUAUUUCAUUUCACAAGAUAGCAUGCCCAAGUACUGGCUCUUCAUGCAUUUUUUGUCCAUGUACAAGUAUGCUCUUGAUGCUCUUCUCAUCAAUGAGUAUUCUUGCCUUGUAAAUAAGUGUUUUCUGUGGUAUGAAGAGACAAAUACGUGUAUGGUGACCGGAGGUGAUGUGUUGCAGAAGAGAGGGCUCCAUGAGAGGCAUAGGUGGAGUAACAUCUACAUUUUGAUUGGAUUCUUCGUCUUCUACCGUGUGCUUUGUUUGCUAGUCUUGAUCAGAAGGGUUUCAAGAUCCAAAAAAUAAAAGAAAAUUUGAAUGUAUAAUGAAUGCAAUUUCGUCUAUAUGUUUUUUUUUUGGUUCUUCGAUUCUGUUUGUUGCAAAUCGAAGCUCCUCUAAUGGUUUCUUUCUUGUGCUUUAUUAGUCUAUUAAAAAAUCGAAAUAAAAACUCUUUUUUUAGAAAAGAAAUAAAAGCGAUUUAAUUAGUUCAAGAA